rnacentral:tRNA from 1 species
GGGUCCAUAGCUCAGUGGUAGAGCAUCUGACUGCAAAUCAAGAGAUCACCUGUUCGAACCCAGUUGGGCCAG